AGCAGCAGCCGCGGUAAUACGAGGGGUGCAAGCGUUAUUCGGAUUGAUUGGGUGUAAAGGGUGUGCAGACGGCUUAUUAAGUCACUUGUUAAAUUCCUCGGCCUAACUGAAGGUCUGCAAGUGAUACUGAUGAGCUAGAGGGUGGAAGAGAGAAGUGGAAUUCUCGGAGUAGCGGUAAAGUGCGUAGAUCUCGAGAGGAACACCAAUGGCGAAGGCAGCUUCUUGGUCCAUUCCUGACGUUCAUACACGAAAGCGUGGGGAGCAAACAGGAUUAGAGACCCGCGUAGUCCCUGUCUCUUAUAC
rnacentral:rRNA from 1 species